AUGUUUGGUAUUGACUCUACGGCUUUUUAUGCUCUUGCCACUUUUUCAUUGUUAACCUUGGUUUCAUGUGCUUCAGAUUUCCUGGACCUUCUUUGUUAUCACCCUCAACCCCAGCUCUCCUUGGAUUAUCUUCAUAUUCAGGAAGAAUACAAGGACCCUCACCUGCCUGCCCUCCAGCCUCACUCACCACCUUGGACACAGCGGAACUCAGACGCAACCGCUCCGUUCCCGUCGCAACCUGCUAAAUCCCCGUUCACUCCCACUGACCCACGGUUACAUCGUUAGCAACGCCUUGUCACAAAUUCACUUGUUGACUAAAUAAUAAACACUGCAAAACGUUUGAGCCGUCUCUGUUUGUGGUUUUCUGCAAUCAAGUCCAAUUUAGCUAUCGGCCCGUGGCCACUGUGACACAUAAGAAGAUCAUUUGUAACCUUCACUAAAGCUGUUUCUGUGCUGUGAUGAGCUCUGAAACCUGACUGAAACUCUUCAAAUAAGCCAUUCCUCUGCAGAUGAUCUGUUAGCUGUUUGACAACUACUCUUUCAAGGAUGUUUGAUAUGAAAGGAAGGUUGGAGAUUGGCCUAUAAUUAGCUAAGACAGCUGGGUCUAGAGAUGCUCUUUAAGUAAAGGUUUAACUACAGCCAGCUUGAAGGCCUGUGGUACAUAGCCGAUUAUUAGAGAUAGGUUGAUCAUAUUUAAGAUUUUUUUAAGAUUGAAGCAUUAAUCAAUGGCAGGACUUCUUUGAGCAGUUUUGUAGGAAUGGGGUCUCAAAGUAGGAAUGGGGUCUAAAUCUUCUGAGGGUACUUCACAUAGUCGUGGUCUCUAGCUGUGAGAGCAGUUCUUUCUUCCGAAAGUUGGAACACUGAGCUACUAGUUAUGUUGCUGUCAAUCUGGAUGCUGGGUAUCGAAGAUUCCAUAGGUCCCUCAUCCUAUUCAUGUAGCCCAGUUCUCAUCAGUGUGUCCUGGUUCCUCAACACCGUGCGACGUCAAGCCAGUAUGGUUUCAUUUAGCAGCUGGAUAGGGUAGUGGUAAGACUACACGUCAUUUUGUAAUGGGAGUUGUGGGUUAAACUCCUGACCAGGGCAUCUGUAAGAAAUCAAGGAUACAAACCCCUAUACUAAAAUAUACUUACCUUAUAUACUAGAAUAUAAAUUUCAAGAGUAAAGAAUGAAAUCCGAACAGGAGUAAACCCUCUGUCUAUUAUCAACGAAUGAAUAAUUUAAACCAAUCAUAAAACACCUAAUAGUAAGCAAGAGUAUAAAGUACUUAAAAAAACCUUC
rnacentral:lncRNA from 1 species